CUGGAGCCGAAGAAACUUCUGAUCCAGGAUUAGACAAGUUGUUGCUCACACAAUGCUGGACCUUUAACCGGUAUGUAUUUGUCUUCAGCAGUCACAUCAUUUCUCUGUGUUCACCUGAUGUUACAACCUUCUCUUCUCUCUGUACAUCACAGAAGUCAACAUGAGCUGAUGAACUAGAAAAGUCCUGCAGAUCUUGACUGUGGCUUCUUAGAACCAAGCUCCAAGUCUACAGCAGAGAAGGGUUCUGACCUGGGGAGCAACAGCUCUGAACUUCACCAAGUAUGUUUCAUCUUCAAAAUCUUUGACUUUUCCACACUACAACCAGGUACAACCUUUCCUCUUAACUCAUCACAGAACCAGCUCGUCAUGAGCCACAGAGCCAAACCCAGCAAUCAUGUGACCCUGGAGCCAUGUGAUCUCUGCUGAGCUUGGAACUCUAAAAUACUGCAUGCUCAGCCGUCCUGGUAGGGGAUCCCUCUAAGACCUGGCCUACCUAUAGGUUUCUUCCUCUUAUCCCGAGACCUGGCCCACCUAAAGGUUUCUUCUUCUUGUCCUGAGAAAGCAUUUUUGGGGGGAG